rnacentral:lncRNA from 1 species
UAGGAGACGCAGCUGACAGGCGGGGUCGUCCUGUCAGCGUCUCGCUGGAAGGAAGGGAGGGGGGGGGCUGACGAGCAGGCCCCGCUUGUCAGCGACCGCGCGGAGAGGAGGCGGAGUGCGCAGCGUCCGUGCGGGCCGAGCCGAAGCGGGCCGGCCUGCGGGCCGAAAUCCGGCCACCCGCUGCAGUGUCUUGUUUUUUUUUCUUUUAUGCAGUUUUUGUUUUAUAUUUGAAUUUGGGUAUUAAAUUGUGUGAUGAUCCAAAAAUAAUGAGAAUUUUUGUAUAAACUCUCUGAAAUAUGUAGGAUCCAAGAAAAAUACUAGGUUCUGAUUUCUAAUAGUUUGCAAGGAUACAAAAAUUGACCCUUUUAAUUAGCAAAUAAAACUUGUAUGAUUUUUAAUAAUUUAUUUGUAUGUCCAAAAAUCACCAAAAAUUGUGGGGAGCCUCUGAAUAUUAUUCCCUGGCUCCACACAAAAUUUGGUGGCAUUUGGAUUAUGUUUGAGUAA